rnacentral:rRNA from 1 species
UACAGAGGGUGCGAGCGUUGUCCGGAAUCACUGGGCGUAAAGGGCGCGUAGGUGGCGGGCCAAGUCCAUGGUGAAAGCUCGAUGCUCAACAUCGAGUCGGCCACGGAUACUGGUUGCUGGAGCACUGUAGAGGCAGAUGGAAUUCCGGGUGUAGCGGUGGAAUGCGUAGAGAUCCGGAAGAACGACCGGUGGCGAAGGCGGUCUGCGGGCAGUGCUGGACACUGAGCGCGACGAGCGUGGGAGCAACAGG